rnacentral:rRNA from 1 species
GACAGCAGCAGCCGCGGGAAUACAGAGGGUGCGAGCGUUAAUCGGAUUUACUGGGCGUAAAGCGUGCGUAGGCGGCUUUUUAAGUCGGAUGUGAAAUCCCUGAGCUUAACUUAGGAAUUGCAUUCGAUACUGGGAAGCUAGAGUAUGGGAGAGGAUGGUAGAAUUCCAGGUGUAGCGGUGAAAUGCGUAGAGAUCUGGAGGAAUACCGAUGGCGAAGGCAGCCAUCUGGCCUAAUACUGACGCUGAGGUACGAAAGCAUGGGGAGCAAACAGGAUUAGAUACCCCAGUAGUCCCUGUCUCUUAUAC